GGGCCCGCGUUUCAUUAGCUAGUUGGUGAGGUAACGGCUCACCAAGGCGACGAUGGGUGGCCGGCCUGAGAGGGUGUACGGCCACACUGGGACUGAGACACGGCCCAGACUCCUACGGGAGGCAGCAGUAGGGAAUAUUGCGCAAUGGGGGCAACCCUGACGCAGCGACGCCGCGUGAGCGAUGAAGGCCUUCGGGUUGUAAAGCUCUGUCAUUGGGGAAGAAAUAGUGACGGUACCCCUGGAGGAAGCCCCGGCUAACUACGUGCCAGCAGCCGCGGUAAAACGUAGGGGGCGAGCGUUGUCCGGAAUUACUGGGCGUAAAGGGCGUGUAGGCGGUUAAGAAAGUCAGCUGUGAAAACCCAGGGCUUAACCCUGGACCUGCAGUUGAAACUUCUUAACUUGAGUGCAGGAGAGGAGAGUGGAAUUCCCGGUGUAGCGGUGACAUGCGUAGAUAUCGGGAGGAACACCAGUGGCGAAAGCGACUCUCUGGCCUGUAACUGACGCUGAGGCGCAAAGCGUGGGGAGCAAACA
rnacentral:rRNA from 1 species